rnacentral:rRNA from 1 species
CCUACGGGAGGCAGCAGUGAGGAAUAUUGGUCAAUGGCCGCAGGGCUGAACCAGCCAAGUCGCGGGAGGGAUGACGGUCCUAUGGAUUGUAAACCGCUUUUGUCAGGGAGCAAAGGGCGCCACGUGUGGCGUGUUGCGAGUACCUGAAGAAAAAGCAUCGGCUAACUCCGUGCCAGCAGCCGCGGUAAUACGGAGGAUGCGAGCGUUAUCCGGAUUUAGUGGGUUGAAAGGGUGCGCAGGCGGCAUGUCAAGUCAGCGGUAAAAUUUCGGGGCUCAACCCCGUCGUGCCGUUGAAACUGGCGUUCUUGCGUGAGCUAGCAGUCUGCUGAAUGCGUGGUGUAGCGGUGAACUGCUUCGAUCUCACGCAGAACCCCGCUUGCGACGGCAGCUUACUACACUGUGCCUGACAUUGAUGCUCGACAGUGUGGGUAUCAAACCGGAUUAGCUCCCCGAGUAGUC